rnacentral:rRNA from 1 species
UGCGAGUCAUUGUAGCAAUACAAGGCAGACGGCUCAGUAACGCGUAGUCAAUCUACCCUAUGGACGGGAAUAACCUCGGGAAACUGAGAAUAAUGCCCGACAGAACAUUAUACCUGGAACGGUUUAUGUUUCAAAUGAUUUAUCGCCGUAGGRUGGGACUGCGGCCUAUCAGUUUGUUGGUGAGGUAAUGGCCCACCAAGACUAUUACAGGUACGGGCUCUGAGAGGAGUAGCCCGGAGAUGGGUACUGAGACACGGACCCAGGCCCUAUGGGGCGCAGCAGGCGAGAAAACUUUGCAAUGUGCGAAAGCACGACAAGGUUAAUCCGAGUGGUUUCUGCUAAAGAAACCUUUUGCUAGUCCUAGAAACACUAGUGAAUAAGGGGUGGGCAAGUUCUGGUGUCAGCCGCCGCGGUAARACCAGCACCUCAAGUGGUCAGGAUGAUUAUUGGGCCUAAAGCAUCCGUAGCUCGUUUUGUAAGUUUUCGGUUAAAUCCAUACGCUUAACGUAUGGGCUGCCGGGAAUACUGCAUAACUAGGAAGUGGGAGAGGUAGACGGUACUCGGUAGGAAGGGGUAAAAUCCUUUGAUCUAUUGAUGACCACCYGUGGCGAAGGCGGUCUACCAGAACACGUUCGACGGUGAGGGAUGAAAGCUGGGGGAGCAAACCGGAUUAGAUACCCGGGUAGUCCCAGCUGUAAACUAUGCAAACUCAGUGAUGCAUUGGCUUGUGGCCAAUGCAGUGCUGCAGGGAAGCCGUUAAGUUUGCCGCCUGGGAAGUACGUACGCAAGUAUGAAACUUAAAGGAAUUGGCGGG